rnacentral:tRNA from 1 species
GGCCUCGUAGCUCAGUUGGUAGAGCGCUCGCGGUACUAGGGCGAGGGUAAUGACCAUGCUUGGGUUCGAAUCCCACCGAGGCCA